rnacentral:sRNA from 1 species
CAUCGAAGCGACGCACUCCUCCUCCCAGCGUCCUUCGUGGAGACUGGCAAUCCUCCUCCUCCCAAUUGUUUGCCAGUCAGCAUUCGAAGCCCGGCGCUCCUCCCGCGCCGGGCUUUGU